CACGGGGGGAGCAAGCGUUGUUCGGAAUCACUGGGCGUAAAGGGCGUGUAGGCGGUCAAGUAAGUGGGAUGUGAAAUCCCUCGGCUCACCCGAGGACCUGCAUCCCAAACUGCUUGGCUUGAGUAUGGGAGAGGAUGAGGGAAUUCCUGGUGUAGCGGUGAAAUGCGUAGAUAUCAGGAGGAACACCGGUGGCGAAAGGCGCUCAUCUGGCCCAAUACUGACGCUGAGGCGCGAAAGCUAGGGGAGCAAACGGG
rnacentral:rRNA from 1 species